CACUGUUCUUACCCAGCACUCUUCAGCCCAUCCUCACUCAGGUCCUGGCACUCAACCAUGUACAAAGGCACAGUACCUGAGUCCAGCUACUGAUGGGCAAGACAGGAAAUGGUCAACAGAGCCUGAUGUCCUGCUGGUGAUUCUGCCAUUGGAGCCCAGGGAGAAGCCCUGAGGAAGAGAGCAGAUGCCAGUCUGCAGGAGCAAGCAGGGUAGAGAAGGAAGCAUCUGGUCAGCCAUGGGGAAACAUCCAGCUUUCCAGGUGGCUCCUCCAGGAAGAGAUACAAGAACAAGAGAGCAAGAGAGGAUCGUGGCAAGUGGCAAGGAGCCUCUGGACCAUGAUCAAGGGCCAACCCCACUGAAGUGCAAGUGCACAUCGAGUUUGGAGCAAGGUGAAUUAGAAGUCUGGGAGACAAAGGACCAUCUCCGCAUGACUGAUGACUACUCAGGCUAGUGAUGAAUGGGUCUCUAAACCAAACACAUCAAUACCUGUGGGCGUGAGAAGGACAGGGCCUGCCGCCUGCGACACCGUUAAACCCUCUCCCAAGGACUUCGUGUUGAAACAGGCUCCAUAGUUACAGUGUGAUCCCAGGACAAAGAAAUAAAGGUCAGUGAUUGAAGGCAAUUCUUUACCUUCAAAUUAAGACGUG
rnacentral:lncRNA from 1 species